rfam:Mesocricetus auratus contig122134, whole genome shotgun sequence.
GCAGAGAUGGCUCAGAGGUUAAGAGCACUGGCUGCUCUUCCAGAGGUCCUGAGUUCAAUUCCCAGCAACUACA